rnacentral:misc_RNA from 1 species
ACAAACUUGGUCAUUUAGAGGAAGUAAAAGUCGUAACAAGGUUUCCGUAGGUGAACCUGCGGAAGGAUCAUUAUUGAAUACCACUCGAUGGGUUGUUGCUGGCUCUUAGGAGCAUGUGCACACCUGUCUUGGAUUCUACUAUUCCACCUGUGCACUCUGUGUAGUCUUUGGGGUUGAGGUCAAUGGCAAACUAAUCGGUCGACAGGCCGGACUGGGGGAACUGCAUGCAUUGAACGAUGCAAGGCUAUCCUCUGCUUUGGUCAUGGUCCACUCCUCAUAGUCUAUGUCUUAAUUCAUAAACCAAACCAAGUAUGUUGUAGAAUGUACUUUUUGGGCCUCUGUGCCUAUAAAAUGUUAUACAACUUUCAGCAACGGAUCUCUUGGCUCUCGCAUCGAUGAAGAACGCAGC